GACGAACGCUGGCGGCGUGCUUAACACAUGCAAGUCGAGCGGAAAGGCCCUUCGGGGUAUUCGAGCGGGGAACGGGCGGGUAACACGUGAGUAACCUGCUCUCGGCUUUGGGAUAACGCCGGGACACCUGGGCUAAUAACGUAUAUGCCCUUGAGCUGUCUGGCGGUGGGUUUAGAGUGUUUUCGGUCUGUGAUGGGCUCGUGGCCUAUCAGCUUGCUGGUGGGGUGAUGGCUUACCAAGUAGCUGACGGGUAGCCGGCCUGUGAGUGCGAGCGGCCACACUGGGACUGCGACACGGCCCAGAAGGCUACGGGAGGCAGCAGUCGGAAAUAUUGCACAAUGGGGGGAAGCCUGUGGCAGCGACGCUGGGUGCGGAAUGAAGUCCUUCUGGUUGUAAACCACUGUCAGCAGAAACGAAGCGUGAGUGACGGUACCUGCAGAAGAAGCGCCGGCCAACUACGUG
rnacentral:rRNA from 1 species